rnacentral:lncRNA from 1 species
AUGGGGGGCUUUGGCCCCCCGCCCCCGCCAAAGAAUUGUGUCCAGCCCUGGGUGGUCCCAGGCGAGCCCCCUGACCCCUGCCCUUCCCGGGAGCCGCAGACGCCCCCCCACCCCCUGCCUCUGCCCGGGAGCUUCAGGGCCCGACCUCCAGGCUUGCCUCACCAGCGGUCAUCAGCCGACCCUCAGGGAUGUAGCGAACCACCGCUCUUCAGUGCUUUAGAAAGACCGGAGGGGCUGCGGGGCGGCCGCCAGCCAUCUGCCGACUCCUCCCGGGAGAAGCGCCUGGGAAUGAGGCCCGGGGCUCGCCCAGCCCAGGGUCCAAGUCCAGGUCCGGCGGUCCUCCAGGCCAAGCUAUCCGAGAAGACGCCCCCAGCUGCAGCCAGGUGUUGCCGCACGGCAGCCUUCCCAACACAUAGUAUGAAUGUUAAAAAUUUGUUUAUUUUUGUCUCUCAACCACUUUAUAAUGUAUUUUUAUUUAUUUUAAGUACUGCUGCUAUCCUUGUUAUCCUUCCCACAGUUUUUAUUGCUGAUUUAUUUUGUGAAAGUUGUACACUAAUGUUGUUUUAUGUCAAAAUCAAAAGUAUUUAAAGAAUACUAGUUCUAUUUAAUGUGGUUAUAGAACCAGCUGGAAACAAAAAACAGUGGUUGGACAGCAGGCUGGACCCCGGCGGUCAGGUUCAUUUUGUUACAUUUGCAAUAAACUCACGACUCUACAUUUUUGCCGUCUGUUGUUUGGUGUGCGAAAGAGUUUCCAGCUUUUUUUUUUUUUUAACAUGACAGGAAGUCAAUGGCAAGGGCCUUCCAAAGAAAGGGGCAAACUUACCACUCCAACAGCAGGAG